CUCGAUCAGUGGAUGCUCACAGAGAAACAGGUUGAGUUGGUUAAAAUGGCUGGAUUUGGCUAUUUGAGAAUGAUACCGGCAAUCAGUUUGGAUAACCCACUCAUAUCUUCCCUAGUUGAGAGAUGGAGAAGAGAAACAAACACAUUCCAUUUCACUGUUGGGGAAAUGACUGUUACCCUUGAGGAUGUCGCGUACUUGCUUGGGCUACCAGUUGAUGGUGAG
rnacentral:misc_RNA from 1 species